UACGUAGGUGACAAGCGUUGUCCGGAAUUAUUGGGCGUAAAGGGCUCGCAGGCGGUCUUCUAAGUCUGAUGUGAAAUCUUGCGGCUUAACCGCAAGCGGUCAUUGGAAACUGGAGGACUUGAGUACAGAAGAGGAGAGUGGAAUUCCACGUGUAGCGGUGAAAUGCGUAGAGAUGUGGAGGAACACCAGUGGCGAAGGCGACUCUCUGGUCUGUAACUGACGCUGAGGAGCGAAAGCGUGGGGAGCGAACAGG
rnacentral:rRNA from 1 species